rnacentral:rRNA from 1 species
AUUGAACGCUGGCGGCAGGCCUAACACAUGCAAGUCGAACGGUAACAGGAAGAAGCUUGCUUCUUUGCUGACGAGUGGCGGACGGGUGAGUAAUGUCUGGGAAACUGCCUGAUGGAGGGGGAUAACUACUGGAAACGGUAGCUAAUACCGCAUAACGUCGCAAGACCAAAGAGGGGGAGCUUCGGGCCUCUUGCCAUCGGAUGUGCCCAGCUGGGAUUAGCUAGUAGGUGGGGUAACGGCUCACCUAGGCGACGAUCCCUAGCUGGUCUGAGAGGAUGACCAGCCACACUGGAACUGAGACACGGUCCAGACUCCUACGGGAGGCAGCAGUGGGGAAUAUGGCGCAAUGGUCGCAAGCCUGAUGCAGCCAUGCCGCGUGUAUGAAGAAGGCCUUCGGGUUGUAAAGUACUUUCAGCGGGGAGGAAGGGAGUAAAGUUAAUACCUUUGCUCAUUGACGUUACCCGCAGAAGAAGCACCGGCUAACUCCGUG